GACGAAUAGCUGACAUAGGAAAUGCAUUCUACAACGCUCAGUGUUAGAGUCGCCCACUCCAAUGCUGGGAACUCUGUGUCCUGUAUUACUUUGCAGAUUUAUUUUCUGGAAGUUAUGCCAUCUUAGCUGUGUAGGGCUUGCUAUGAUUAGUCACCGGCUUCCAUAAAGGCAAGGCGGGCCAGGCACCUUCUUGGCUUUGUUCCAGCCCUGUGGAGUUUAUGAAUCUGUUGGCAGAACAUCUUCCCUUAAGGGCUCAGUUACCUUCCAGAAGAUGGAUGGGCGGGCCUGUGUCCUGCCCACCUGGGCUCACUCCUCCCAACCCUCCAGGGUUCCCAUGGCCAGGGAACCACAGUGUCCCUUUCCGUGAUGUCAUCAUCGGCGUGUCAGUCCCAGUAGAGAUGAGGCUUGGAAGUUUCUGAAAUAUAAACUAUAUGAACACACCAUGUUUUCUGAGAAGUGUCCCUCUCCCAUAGACACACUUUACUGAAAAGAUAGUUGAGUUUCAUUUGUGGGCAGUGGACAGGGUAGGCCACAGUACGUAAAACUAAGCCAAAAACUACUUGUUCCUUUGUGUUCCUGCUCAGUCAAACUCCAGCUCCUUCUUUAGAGUUAAAAGAAGCCUAGGACAGGAAGUCCUUUGACUCUGUACAUUAUGGACACUCUGGGGAAGUGUCCUCCCUGUAAGGUUACAACCCUAGCAGGACUUGUGCCUGAUGUCACGCAGUCCUGGUUCCAUGCAUGGAGUUUAAAAACCAUCGAAACAGAUUUCUAUCUUUGGGCUAGAAGUCACAUGCGAGAGACUCUGGGGCAAAGUCAAAGCGAACCUGAGCCAAUAUCAAAAUGACUUUCUCCUUGCUUCUUCUCGUUAGCCCUGUGCGCUUUCUUGACACUCCUGACGGUGGGAGCUAGUUCACUUGUCAUUUCUGGGGAUUGUCAGUUAGACUACGAAGUGUUCUAGCACUCACUCGAACCUCAUCAGAUUGAAGAGCUAAUGGGACAGGUCCUGCCCUUGUCAUAUCCUAGAGGGGCUCUUUGUGGUAGGUUUGGGGCUGCUAAAAAUGGCCACACUUCACCGGCACUAUGGUGCAUGUAGUGGAUAAGACACAUACCUGGUUAACUGAAGAUAACCAGAUGGUUGCCUCUUACCCAGACUGUCUGCCGUGUCAAACUUGUGUUUGAAGUGUAGGCUGUAGACUGUUUCUGGAUGAUAGUCUAAACCAGACCAAAAAAAAAAAAAAAAA
rnacentral:lncRNA from 1 species